GUGGGGUUCGGGUUGCUCUGGUCUGAGAGCAGAGUACCUCUAGGGGUCAGUAUGGUCUAAUCUGCACAAGAGACAGCCUGGCUGGGCGGCCACAGCCUUGCAGGCAGGCUGUAGCCUGAGGCUUGGCAGGAGAGCAGAGGUUAUCUGUCCAGCAGGUUUCAGGUUUUCACUCCAUGGAAGCUGGCAGCUUCCUUUCCUUCAACCGUAUGUUCAGGAACGCCAAGCCUACAGAAAUGCCGCAUGUAGUGAUUGUCCCUUCCCCCACUGUUUUGUCUCAUUAGUUCUUCUCGAUAUGGAACCAUUUAAAAUUAAUUUGUCCCCCUGAGAAGUAGGUUGAGGCACGGCAGGUCACUCUUCACACUUGAACUUAGCGUACUCUGUGAAUAAGGACAUUCUUCCAUAUCUCUGAAAUACACUAGCCAAUCUAAAACAAAAAUCACCAACCCUUCUGCCAGGCUUGGUACAUGUCUGUAACCCCAGAACUGGGGAGGCAGGCAGAUGAGCCUUAUCAGCCAGACUGUGUACGGAGAUCCUGUUUGGAAAAGAAGAUUGAUCAAGAAUCCAUGUUAAUAUUCCCUAUUAAAACAAGUUACCCAAAA
rnacentral:lncRNA from 1 species